rnacentral:miRNA from 1 species
AUAUUAGGUUGGUGCAAAAGUAAUUGUGUUUUUUGUCAUUAAGAGUAAUAGCAAAAACCACAGUUACUUUUGCACUGACCUAAUA